AUGACAGCUGUUGUGAAAACAAUUUCAGUGUUUUAACAAAGUUAACUAGAUUUAAUGAAGUUUGGAAAAAUACAAACAUAAAGAAAUACAUAAACAUAUAAACUAAAAUAAUACGAUUAAUUUUUCUAAUUAUUGCACCAAAUAAAGAUGUUUCUCCAAUCGGUUUGCUUCAAACUCAUUAGUAUGCUAAACUUAAACUGACAUCUCAACCCCACAAUUAAUAACUGUCUUUAUUAACCCCAUAUAUGAAAGAUCAAUAAAUUUCAAAGCCAAGGUCAAAUAUAAUGAACAAAAACAAAAAAUAUAGUAUUGCCGCCAGCUAACAACGUGUGGACAUUUAUGGAAAAUUAUUUUAUUACUACAACUCUUGUAAAACGAAUAAUCAAACACAAAUUUAUCAAUAUUAAUAAAAACUUAGGCCCAAAAUUAAGAG